UACAGAGGGUGCAAGCGUUAUUCGGAUUUACUGGGCGUAAAGAGCGUGUAGGUGGUUUAACAAGUCUGAUGUGAAAGCCCUGGUCUCAAGCCAGGAAGUGCAUCGGAUACUGUUAGGCUAGAGUACAGGAGGGGAGAGCGGAAUUCCAGGUGUAGAGGUGAAAUUCGUAGAUAUCUGGAGGAACAACAGUGGCGAAGGCGGCUCUCUGGACUGUAACUGACACUAAGGCGCGAAAGCGUGGGGAGCAAACAGG
rnacentral:rRNA from 1 species